GGGCAGCAGUGGGGAAUAUUGCACAAUGGGCGAAAGCCUGAUGCAGCCAUGCCGCGUGUGUGAAGAAGGCCUUCGGGUUGUAAAGCACUUUCAGUAGGGAGGAAAGGUUAACGAUUAAUACUCGUUAGCUGUGACGUUACCUACAGAAGAAGGACCGGCUAACUCCGUGCCAGCAGCCGCGGUAAUACGGAGGGUCCGAGCGUUAAUCGGAAUUACUGGGCGUAAAGCGUGCGCAGGCGGUUAUUUAAGCCAGAUGUGAAAGCCCCGGGCUCAACCUGGGAAUUGCAUUUGGAACUGGGUAACUAGAGUCUUGUAGAGGGAGGUAGAAUUUCAGGUGUAGCGGUGAAAUGCGUAGAUAUCUGAAGGAAUACCGGUGGCGAAGGCGGCCUCCUGGACAAAGACUGACGCUCAUGCACGAAAGCGUGGGGAGCAAACAGGAUUAGAUACCCGUGUAGUC
rnacentral:rRNA from 1 species